UGAAGCUGGAAUCGCUAGUAAUCGCGAAUCAGAAUGUCGCGGUGAAUACGUUCCCGGGUCUUGUACACACCGCCCGUCACACCAUGGGAGUCGGAAAUGCCCGAAGUCAGUGACCUAACCGAAAGGGAGGAGCUGCCGAAGGUGGAGCCGGUAACCGGGGUGAAGUCGUAACAAGGUAAC
rnacentral:rRNA from 1 species